GGUGAACGCUGGCGGCAGGCCUAACACAUGCAAGUCGAGCGGCAGCGGGUUCCCGCGAGGGGAUGCCGGCGAGCGGCGGACGGGUGAGGAACACAUCGGAAUCUGCCUGGUUGUGGGGGAUAACGUAGGGAAACUUACGCUAAUACCGCAUGAGACCCUGAGUCGACGGACUGGGGGUNAAAGUGAGGGACCUUCGGGCCUCACGCGACCAGAUGAGCCGAUGUCGGAUUAGCAGGUUGGCGGGUAACGGCCCGCCAAGGCGACGAUCCGUAGCUGGUCUGAGAGGAUGAUCAGCCACGCUGGGACUGAGACACGGCCCAGACU
rnacentral:rRNA from 1 species